UCGGUCACCCUCACUUUACCAAACCCCCGAGGAUCCACCUCGGCGGAGCCCUUCACCCUCGCUCCCGACGGCAGCGAUCGGAGUUCGGUCUACGUUGCCUUCUCCCUGCGUCGAUUUGAAAUCCUCGCCUAGCUACUUCUUUUGUAUUGCUGUUCUCGGGCGAGGGAGAUGGGGUUCCGGAGUUUAGUACGGGAGACUGAUUGCUUUUGAGAGGUUGGGUCUUCUGCAGGCCACAAAGACAAGCCGGACGUUCUUGUAGACGAUUAUGAUGGCUCCGCGUGCAAUUCACGCCAAAUUAAUGAUGCAGAAGGUUGAGAUGGAGUUACUAGAAUGUCUUCCUUUCUGUAUGGCCCCUGCAUGUGAGCAUAAGAUUGAUAGUUUAUUUACGCCUUGUUAUGAUGAAUCCUGAUAGCCUCAGAUCAUUAGCUGCUACAUGGUUUCAGAAGAUCACCAUCACAGCUUACUGGAUGAUAUGUGGUAUUCUUUUCUCAUCAAAAUUAUUGUUGUCGGGGAAGAUGCGGAAAGACUAUUAGUUCUCUGUCCUUAGUAGAUCAUUUGACUAGCACUUGUUUGCGUUGCUGCCUACUCUAUGCUCUUCCAGCGGCAGCACUCGUUUCUUUGAGGUCAUCCCACUUUGAAUCCAGCAGAGCUGUCUGUAUUCCCCGUCUCAGCCUACAGUUGUUUUCUUACUCAAUGACGCGGGAGACGGCAAUAUAGAUUCACACUCAUCAUCUUUGUCCUCUCGUGCUGGUCCAAGUUCCAACCAAUCAUAGGUCUUAUAUGCCUGCACCCGAAGACAUUCAAGAUCUCCACAGUUUCCAGAUGGAAACAUGACAUGGAGGACAGACAUCUUAUUCGCUUAAAGGGGAAAGAAUUAUAGAAUUUCCUACAAAGGAUCAGACUAAUUUGCUCUCCCACUAUGAUGCACAGCCUCAUCUUGAUCUGAUCUCAUGUGGACUUCAACAAACAACGAGAGAUGUCUGGCAAAGAGAAAGUGAUGGACACAAGGAAGAAGAAGUAAUGGCUCAGAUGAACAUUGCAUGCACUUCCGUCUUAGGAUAUAAACACACUUCAAUGAGAACCUGCUCUUAGUCUACCAUUCCUAGGGACCAUCAAGACCUUCGUGGUGGCCACCAUGGCUUCCAACUCCCAGCCCGACCUGUGACACCAACCUCCAAAGCCUCUCCAUUGAUGUCUUUGUCCUGAUGCUGCGGGCAUGGUGGGUUUAAUAAAGAGGUAGCAAAGGCACGAGGAUUGGAGGUCAUUCUCUGUGCUUAUCUACGGCUCUGUGCGCUCCAUGAGAGAGAGAGAGAGAAGCAUUGUUGGCCUGCACGCAAAAGGUUGGCUGCUUUUGAGACAGCUGCCAUAAAGACGUGCCUGCAAUGGGAUGGAGACUGAGAGGAUGAGGAAAAGAGAGCAGAGCCUUGAAUGGUGGAGUUGUUAUCCAUGGGGAUCAGGGAACCAUGGGGGGUGCUGUGGUUUGGGUUCAACAGGGGCUACUGGGCCAUGGAGAUGUGUACAAAUAGGAAAGUGAAGGGGAACACCACCAAGGUAGAAUGUGGGACUCAGCGCACAUGCCUUGUCAACCGCACAUUGGACAAAGGCCUAACUCAAUUCAGUGAUGAUAGAAGAAGGAUAAUAUUUAUAUGUCAGAUUGGAAAUGAUAGAAUAGAAGGAGAAAAAUGAAUGACUUGGAGAUAGUAAAUUCCAAGUUAUUUUUACUGGAUAGUAAUAUUUGUUCGCAUAUCCGUGCAUGGAUCGAUGUCAAUUUGAAAAGAACAAGAGAACAAUAUCAGUCGAGGACGUGAUGUAUAUAUGUAUGAGAAAAAGAUCUGAUGCUUCUUAUGAAUCAUGAAACAGAUAUGAGUUCAAGCGUGCAUACAAGACGUGGAGCACAAAAUAGUAUAUGUAGAAAUGAUGCUUUCCCUUCUUUGAUUAAUGACAGUGACGUGGGGAAGCCAAGACUUGUUUUUCUGAGACCACCUUGUCCUCUGCAGUAGACACAAGUUAUACUGUGAUGUGUACUCGUUGUCAGCAUACAGUAACGCUCGAUCCUCAGCCCCCCUCAGCGCUGUGCAUUGUACCUUCGCUAAGCAUCAGUGGAGACACUGUUGAUUCACGUGCACUCUCUCUCUCUCUCUC